UCUCUGAUAUGCUCUCAUAUUCUUUUACGUGAUACUGUUACUAUUAUUCACUGGUGAUGUCACUAUAUGUAUGAAACUUGAUCCUGGCAUACAUAUAGGUAGUACUUGGUUUUGUUUUAAAACCGGGUGUGAAAGAAGUGGUAUUAGAGCUGUAUCAACUGUAGGAUGUAAGCCUAGAUAGCAAUGGUCGUUUUCUAAGGUUUCUUUUGAUAUAAAAUUUAUUCCUGCCUUAUCCUUAACCUCACUCCUUGAUCACUUUCUUUUCUCAAUCCUCCUUGAUGACUUGAGUUCUUUUCAUUUGCACUUAUUAUUUUGCACAUGUUAGAUCCUCAAUCCUUGUCUAUUUAUUUCCUAUCUCCUUGAUCACUACUUGAUCUUGAUCAUGCAUAUGCUUUUUGUAGAAUAAUCUUACCUAUUUCAUGCAAUACACCUCCUUGAUUACUUAGUGAUAUUGCUACCCUCUCAUCCCCUGUUCAUGUAUCUCUUUGAUAUUUUCCUUACCUACUUAUCCUUGUAAACCUAUCUUUUCCUUAAC
rnacentral:lncRNA from 1 species